UCUCUCUCUCUCUCAUCCUGUCCCCCAUGACAGGUGUCUGUCUCUCUCUCAUCCUGUCCCCCAGGAUAGGUGUCUGUCUCUGUUUCUCUCCUCCUGUCCCCCAGGACAGAUGUCUGUCUCUCUCCUCUUGUCCCUCAGGACCGGUGUCUUUCUCUUUUCCUGUCCCCCAGGAUAGGUAUCUGUCUCUUUCGCCACCUGUCCCCCAGGACAGGUGUCUGUCUCUCUCCCUUCCUGUCCCCCAGGAGAGGUGUCUGUCUGUCUCUUUUGUCUAUUUCAGUUUUACAAUAUUGACCUGAGUCAAGCUCAAGUAAACCACGCAAACCAAGCAAGAAAAGUUGUACAAACCAACAGGAUAAUUAAAAGUUUGGUUUAUUGCUGUAUUCAUUUUCUCUUACAGCUCAAAGUCGGGCCAGUGGACGGCAUUUGCAGAGACUAUGUGCCUGGGAAGAGCUUCAGCUUUCAGAUCAGAGGUGACCCAGGUGCAAAAGUCAGCCUGGUGGCUGUGGACAACGCUGUGUAUCUUCUCAACGAGGACAGACUCACACAGAGGAAGAUUUGGGACGUGGUGGAGCAUGGAGACAUUGGCUGCACCCGUGGGGGAGGAUGAGAUGCUCAGGGGGUGUUUUCAGAUGCAGGACUGCUGCAGGACUGCUUUAGGACUGCUUUAGGACUGCUUUACUCCUCCAGUACUGGGUUCAAAACUACAACCAGACAAACCGUGCAGUGUCCAGGCAGUACCAGAAGGAGACGCUCUGCUGAACUGUUGAAGCGUAAAGCUCAGCUGGUUGCCUGCUAAUCUUGAUUUGGAAGUAGAGGCUCGAGGAAAUGGACAAGGAAUACUAGAGCACAGGGAAAGACAACCACGGGUUGUGACCUAUUACAAUCAGCUGCAUGAGGUGGAAGAGAAAAUGCCCUGCAAGCACUUUGAUCUCAACGUCUCUUUUGAAGGAUCCAGCGGUAGAUCAAAUUCUCACACUAUAUCACAUAUUUUACACGACGUCCUUCAGACGGGUGACAAAUUAAAGCAAAUGCACUUUAACAAAAAAAAACAAAGCAUUUAGACUGCUGACCUGAGUAAAUUUAGUAAAAUGAAUUUAUAAAACACUCACAUACAAUCUCUUAAAAUACAUACGUUUUGCAUACAUCACAAUGCAAGGACUGUGUGUGCUCAUCUUCAGGGACUUUUUGUUCGUAUUAUUUUUGUUAAGAUCAAAUGAAUACAUUAUUGUUAAGAUCAAAAUAACACAUUGGAGCAUAAUUACAUCAAAUACACUAUUACAUACGCUCUAGCCCACCAUAUAAUAUAUACAGCUGUACAUUAAUUAAUGCUUUGCUACUGUCCCGGACCAGAAAAGCCUCCAGCAGAUGUAGAAAAGUCAGACAAGAUCAAGUAGUUGUUGUUGUUAUACGUGUACACGACUGUGCAAAACGUUAGAUCGGCAGCAAUAUCGACUACCUUAUUACAAAUUGCAGGGCACAGUUUCACAGCUUUGGGUAGUUCAAAAUAUCUUGUGCCAGUUCCUCUGUGGACUGACACUCUGUACAUUAUCUGAUAG
ensembl:lncRNA